AAGGAAAACCCCUCCAAAACAGCCAGGAGCUAAAAUGAUUUGGCAAGCUUUGCGGGAGAAAACUGCCAGCAGGGAAAGACGAGGUGGGAGCAUUACUCCCGACAGAAGAAGCUCUGAUUAGCAGAUUAUCACUUAAGUGAUGUUGAUCCCAGCCACGCUGCCUUCCAAAUGAGCCCUUUCACAGCCGCCAGCUGCGCCACGGAGUCAUGAAUGUAAAUGAAUGGGCCAGAUCCUCUGCUGGCAUCCAUCGAGGCAGCUUUGAUGGACCGUCCUGGAUCCACAACAGCUGGAGGAGUCUGGCUGUAGCAGGAGCCCGUCUUGCUUUUCAGAUUUCAUUUAGAGCCUGUGGGAAAGGGCCUGAAGCUGGGUGUACUGCAGGAUAGAGCAGCAUCAACUGCACAUCUGGAGGGACCCUCGAGGCUGCGACUUUCGCUGCCAGAUAAAGCCUUCUUUAGAUCAGACUGGAGCAAUCAGCCCCCACCUGAUACCAGGCAGGGUGCAAAACAGGAUGUCAGAAGCCAGAGCCUGCUUAUCGAUAGCCGUGAGAGAUCCUUGCUGAGUCAGAUAGGGGAAGGAUGAGAUAAUUUCUGAUGUUUUUUUUUCUUUUUUUCUUUAAUCAUAUUUAUUUAUUUACUUGUUUGUUUAUUUUGCAGUUGCUGAGCUUGUAACCUGUUCCCUGGUACCGUACGCCAGCACGUAUCAUCUUGCCCUCAUAAAGCUUUGUUGAUCUCCAUCCAACUUGUUGGACUGAGCGUGUGGGAAGCAUGUGAGGGACUCUCAUGAGCAGCCUCACGUUCUCUGAGCUGCUUUUUCCCUUGGGGGUAAAGCUUUCCCCAAAGUGCUCAGUCCAUUUCAGCUCAGAGGUGAUGGCCUGAAACCUGCAGAGCUGGUGGUGAGAUGGGAACAAGCUCUCUUUGUGAGGCUGCUCCAGCUUGCUGGGUGCACUGAAUGAAAUCUUUCAUUUGGUUCCUCAGAGAGUACAGGAAGAUCCUCAGCUUU